GUUCUUGUAGUGUAGUGGUUAUCACGUUCGCUUCACACGCGAAAGGUCUCCGGUUCGAACCCGGACAGGAACA
rnacentral:tRNA from 1 species